GGAUAUUCGUUUCUCAAAAUUUUAAUAUUUAUAAUUUGUUUCGUUUUUAACAGAUAUUGAUUUUUAUUAUUUGUUCUAUUUGAAAGUUUACAAAUAUUCAAAAUUUUUGAAUCGAAUCGAAAUAAAUAACGAGUCAAAUCAAAUUUAACGAAUAAAAUGCUCAGCCAAGUAAUCACAAUCUUUGAAAAACUCUACCACAGCUAUUCUUUCGAAAUAUGUCAAGUCAAUAAAACUUUUUAAAUUUCUGUCUGCCGUUAAUAACUUGUAUAUUUCAUGGUCUUCUCGUUUUAUGUGUGAAGUACUGUUUCCACAUCUGGUGUUGUAGAUGUCAUGAAGCUCAAUAGCUUGAACACUGGGCUACCCUGCGUUUUUCUCAAAGCAUUUCCAGUAUGCGUUUGGAAGUAACUAAAAUUGAGUCCAUAAAGACCAUGUGUGUGUGCUCGCAUAGGACACUUCUCUUAUUGUGGUAAGAAGAUUGAGUCUAUAUACUCUAUAAAGACUGUGAAUAUGUAUUUGUGAACGUUGAGAUGAACAAUGACGUUUUAAACUUCUUUGAUGCUCUGUAUUCAAUUUUUCUUAAGUUUUGUUCGUGCUCACACAAUUGUCAUUCGAAAAACAAAAACCAAUAUUGUUUUUUUUCAUAUUUACUCUAAUUACUGUUUUAAUAGAGAAAAAUAUACACUUUUUUUUUAUCAAGUUUUGCUAGAGUAACAUCAUUUACUCUAUUUUUUUUUCUUUUUUUUCUAUGAUUUUAUUUUUAUAUAUUUCUCACCUAUUUUUUUAUUCGACUUUACUCAAGAAAACUAAUCAUACUUAUAAUUUGUAAUAGCGUUCAACAUGAGCAUCUGCAUGCAUAUUCAUGGUGAUUUAUUAGCUUCCAAUUUCAAAUUUUGCAUAACUUUCCAUAAUUUUUGAAGUCUUUGGGUCCAACUCGUGACCAUUCUGGAAACAAAAGAAAUAAAUAGAAAAUAAAUGUAGAAAAAAAAUUGCAGAAACGAAAAAAAAAUUAUUGUUCCAUCUCAUAUUUAACAAGGGAUAACUUUGUUCUUUAUUUUUCUACAAAAAAAAAGAAAUAGUAAGAAAUAAAAAAGAAAAUUUAUUCCUUAUGAAUCGUGAACUUUUUAAAAAUGUUAGGAAAUGCAUUAUUGCUUGUCGUUCCUUGUCACCAUUCACACAAUAUAUAAAACGGGACUCUCAAAAUGGACAAGUUGAGAAUCAUGUAAUAUGUUCGAAAAAUAAAUGUUGAAAAUUUCAUGUGUUAGUGGUCGGGUGGUACAUGAUCCUGUAAUGAUCCUAAAGAUCGGAGAUUUAAAUUCGUUGUCUUCUAAUGACCUUAGCC
rnacentral:lncRNA from 1 species